rnacentral:ncRNA from 1 species
ACGCGAGGACGACCUCGACACUUUCCAACUUUCCGGCCGGGACGACCCGC